rnacentral:rRNA from 1 species
AGAAUCAACGCUGGCGGCGUGCCUAACACAUGCAAGUCGAACGAGAAAGUGGGAGCAAUCCCACGAGUAAAGUGGCGCACGGGUGAGUAACACGUGACUAACCUACCCUUGAGUGGGGGAUAACCUAGGGAAAACCUGGGCUAAUACCGCAUAAUACCUUCGGGUCAAAGGAGCAAUUCGCUUAAGGAGGGGUCGCGGCCGAUUAGUUAGUUGGCGGGGUAAUGGCCCACCAAGACUGUGAUCGGUAUCC